GUAUUUUUAAUAGAGGUCUUUCGACCCAAUAAACAUUCAAGGUAUAUAAGAGUUUAUAAUAGAGAAGACACUAUAUCCAGUAAAGGAAUAGGAAUUCUCUCAAUGUGCACAGGUGUUGAAGGGAUUAAGGAAAGGUAGACGUGCACAAGUCCCUUUAGAAGGGCAGCACAGUAAACCUAACCAAUAAUUUCAUUAAUGAUCCUUCCGCAGGUUCACCUACGGAAA
rnacentral:misc_RNA from 1 species